rnacentral:rRNA from 1 species
AAUGCUGAUCAGGGAGACAAAAACACCGAGGCCUACUCCACACUGAAGCCUCCUGAUGAAAUGAUGAAGUUUGACACUUAUGAGGAAGCUUAUGAUCACUACAAGCAAUAUGCACUCAGACAUGGGUUUUGGAUAAGGCUGAAAUAUAGAAAAACAAUUAAAGACGGUACUGUAAGUAGAGUCCUCUUGGUUUGUGGGAAAAGCGGCAAGCCAAAAAAAAAGGAGGAGACACAGGAUGUGCAGAACCCAAAAGGGAUCAUGAAGAAGAGGAAAAGAGGGAAGGUUGUGAGGUCGGUAUCUCCGGCCCACCUUUACAUUACCCACAUGGAUGUGUGGUGGAGAGUCAAACGCUUCAACGACAACCACAACCACCCUCUAAUCCGAAAGCCGUCCCUGACAAAGUUCCUAUCAUCACGUAGGAACAUUCCCAAGGAUGAGCAGGACUUCUUGAAGAUACUGCACGGAUGUAACAUAGAGACAGCAAUACAGAUGCAACUGAUGACAUGGUUCUACGAGUCUCCUAAAGAUGUACCAUACUCGACAAAGGACAUAACAAACCAGCAAGCUAAAUUCCGCAUGGAGCACCGCCACGCUAAUGUGGGAAGCACAAUCUCAUACUUCCAAGAUACGAAGGCACAAGAUCCGGAUUUCUGUUGGAGAAUAAAGCUUGAUGAUGAGAUGGAAGCGUAUGGUCAGACCGACAACGAGCAUUUUUGUUGGCUGUUGGAAAACAGGAAGUGUUGGGUCCCUACAUACAAUAUGCAUGAUUUUUUUCCGUUCUUGCAGACCACAUCAAGAAGUGAGGGGUUUAACUCUAUGCUCAAGAAGUAUGUCAACCCAAACAACUCACUGGUGGAAUUCAUACAACAGUACACUGCGAUACAAUAUAAGGUGAUGGCUAGUGUGUCGAAAGAGCAGUUGGAAAUAGUGCACAAAGAAACCGAAAUUUACUCGAUGAACUCGCGGGAGAUGCAGGUGCGGGGGCUGUACACACAUAACCUGUUUUGCAAGUUCCAGGUGGAUAUGAAGGUGAAAUCAGCCUACAAAUGCGACACAUUGGAUGAUGGUACCUUCAAGGUCAGUUCAGUACGGGGGAUAGUACCAAAAUAUGGGGACAGGGACUACCAUCUGCAAGCAAACAUGGAUGAAGGGACAUACUCGUGUUCUUGCUGCAAGUUUGAUCAUGAUGGACUACUGUGCGCACACAUACUACGAGUGAUGGACCAGAUUGGGGUGUACGAGAUACCUGAAAAGUACAUCCUAAAGAGGUGUACUUGGGAUCCAGAGGAGGAUAUUAUUCAACCUGAUUUCGAAUAGCCAACAGUUAAGAAGUCAAUGCCAGAGGAGGGGAAAAGCGUCAUGCGAUAUAUGUCAGUUCUAAAAGAAUUUAAGGCAUCAACCAAAGACGCUUGCCUAACAGAUGAUGGAACUAGAUUGGCAAGAAAACACCUAUAUAAUUUCAUGGAGGAGCUUGAAACCUUGAAGAAUAGUCAAUUCAACAAAGCAAUAAAGGAAAAGGAAGAAGCAAAAGGAUCAUUUCAAGGACAACCAGAUCAUUGCUCGAUACCUGUGGGAUGGGUGAAUGAAGACAACUCCGCCACACAGCACCAAAUCACCCCCGAUGCGCACCAACAGGAGACCCCCCCCCACACACACAACAAACAAGCGCCACUAAUGUGCAGCGACAAGAGAACCCCACCACACAGCAAGCAAUUGUGCAUGUGA